GUUGUAUGGUUAAGUGACUAAGCGUACAUGGUGGAUGCCUUGGCAGUCAGAGGCGAUGAAGGACGUACUAACCUGCGAUAAGCCGUGAGCAGUCGGUAAGAGACAUUACGACUCACGGAUUUCCGAAUGGGGAAACCCACUUAGCAUAAGCUAGGUAUCGCUACGUGAAUACAUAGCGUAGCGAGGCGAACCGGGAGAACUGAAACAUCUAAGUACCCCGAGGAAAAGAAAUCAACCGAGAUUCCCUCAGUAGCGGCGAGCGAACGGGGAUUAGCCCUUAAGCAUCUUGGAAGUUAGUGGAACGGUCCUGGAAAGGCCGGCGAUACAGGGUGAUAGCCCCGUACACGAAAACAACCUUGAUGUGAAAUCGAGUAGGGCGGGACACGUGACAUCCUGUCUGAAUAUGGGGGACCAUCCUCCAAGGCUAAAUACUCCUGACUGACCGAUAGUGAACCAGUACCGUGAGGGAAAGGCGAAAAGAACCCCUGUGAGGGGAGUGAAAUAGAACCUGAAACCGUGUACGUACAAGCAGUGGGAGCCCUUCGGGGUGACUGCGUACCUUUUGUAUAAUGGGUCAGCGACUUACAUUUUGUAGCGAGGUUAACCGUAUAGGGGAGCCGUAGGGAAACCGAGUCUUAACUGGGCGUCUAGUUGCAAGGUGUAGACCCGAAACCGGGUGAUCUAGCCAUGGGCAGGUUGAAGGUUGAGUAACAUCAACUGGAGGACCGAACCCACUAACGUUGCAAAGUUAGGGGAUGACCUGUGGCUGGGGGUGAAAGGCCAAUCAAACUCGGAGAUAGCUGGUUCUCCCCGAAAGCUAUUUAGGUAGCGCCUCGGACGAAUACUACUGGGGGUAGAGCACUGUUUGGGCUAGGGGGUCAUCCCGACUUACCAACCCCAUGCAAACUCCGAAUACCAGUAAGUAAUAUCCGGGAGACACACGGCGGGUGCUAACGUCCGUCGUGAAGAGGGAAACAACCCAGACCGCCGGCUAAGGUCCCAAAGUUCUGGUUAAGUGGGAAACGAUGUGGGAAGGCUCAGACAGCUAGGAUGUUGGCUUAGAAGCAGCCAUCAUUUAAAGAAAGCGUAAUAGCUCACUAGUCGAGUCGGCCUGCGCGGAAGAUGUAACGGGGCUCAAACCAGGCACCGAAGCCGCGGAUUCACGCUAAGCGUGAGUGGUAGGGGAGCGUUCUGUAAGUCUGCGAAGGUGUGUCGAGAGGCAUGCUGGAGAUAUCAGAAGUGCGAAUGCUGACGUAAGUAACGAUAAAGGGGGUGAAAAGCCUCCUCGCCGGAAGACCAAGGGUUCCUGUCCAACGUUAAUCGGGGCAGGGUGAGUCGACCCCUAAGGCGAGGCCGAAAGGCGUAGUCGAUGGGAAGCAGGUUAAUAUUCCUGCACGACUUGUAAUUGCGAUGGGGGGACGGAGAAGGCUAGGUGGGCCAGGCGACGGUUGUCCUGGUGAAAGUGCGUAGGUGGUGUUUCUAGGCAAAUCCGGAGACACAACACUGAGACACGAGACGAACACACUACGGUGUGGAAGCCAUUGAUGCCCUGCUUCCAGGAAAAGCCUCUAAGCUUCAGAUUACAAGUCAUCGUACCCCAAACCGACACAGGUGGUCGGGUAGAGAAUACCAAGGCGCUUGAGAGAACUCGGGUGAAGGAACUAGGCAAAAUAGAACCGUAACUUCGGGAGAAGGUUCGCUCUUGACAGUGAAGUCCCUUGCGGAUGGAGCAGUUGGGAGUCGCAGUGACCAGAUGGCUGGGACUGUUUAUCAAAAACACAGCACUCUGCAAACACGAAAGUGGACGUAUAGGGUGUGACACCUGCCCGGUGCCGGAAGGUUAAUUGAUGGGGUUAGCGCAAGCGAAGCUCUUGAUCGAAGCCCCGGUAAACGGCGGCCGUAACUAUAACGGUCCUAAGGUAGCGAAAUUCCUUGUCGGGUAAGUUCCGACCUGCACGAAUGGUGUAACCAUGGCCAUGCUGUCUCCACCCGAGACUCAGUGAAAUCGAAUUCGCCGUGAAGAUGCGGUGUACCCGCGGCUAGACGGAAAGACCCCGUGAACCUUUACUACAGCUUGGCACUGAACAUUGAACCUACAUGUGUAGGAUAGGUGGGAGGCUUUGAAGGCGUGACGCCAGUUGCGCUGGAGCCGUCCUUGAAAUACCACCCUUGUAUGUUUGAUGUUCUAACGCAGGCCCAUGAAUCUGGGUCGCGGACAGUGCCUGGUGGGUAGUUUGACUGGGGCGGUCUCCUCCCAAAGAGUAACGGAGGAGCACGAAGGUUGGCUAAUCCUGGUCGGACAUCAGGAGGUUAGUGCAAUGGCAUAAGCCAGCUUAACUGCGAGACGGACAGGUCGAGCAGGUACGAAAGUAGGUCAUAGUGAUCCGGUGGUUCUGAAUGGAAGGGCCAUCGCUCAACGGAUAAAAGGUACUCCGGGGAUAACAGGCUGAUACCGCCCAAGAGUUCAUAUCGACGGCGGUGUUUGGCACCUCGAUGUCGGCUCAUCACAUCCUGGGGCUGAAGUCGGUCCCAAGGGUAUGGCUGUUCGCCAUUUAAAGUGGUACGCGAGCUGGGUUCAGAACGUCGUGAGACAGUUCGGUCCCUAUCUGCCGUGGGCGUUGGAUGAUUGAAGGGAGUUGCUCCUAGUACGAGAGGACCGGAGUGAACGAACCUCUGGUGUUCGGGUUGUCACGCCAGUGGCACUGCCCGGUAGCUAAGUUCGGAAUCGAUAACCGCUGAAAGCAUCUAAGCGGGAAGCGAGCCCUGAGAUGAGUCAUCCCUGACCCCUUGAGGGUCCUAAAGGGCCGUUGGAGACCACAACGUUGAUAGGUGGGGUGUGUAAGCGCGGCGACGUGUUGAGCUAACCCAUACUAAUUACCCGUGAGGCUUAACCAUACAACACCCAAGAAGUGUUCU
rnacentral:rRNA from 1 species